UGGGGAAUAUUGGGCAAUGGGCGAAAGCCUGACCCAGCAACGCCGCGUGAAGGAAGAAGGUUUUCGGAACGUAAACUUCUAUCCCAGAUGAAGAUAAUGACGGUAAUCUGGAAGGAAGCCCCGGCUAACUACGUGCCAGCAGCCGCGGUAAUACGUAGGGGGCAAGCGUUGUCCGGAAUGAUUGGGCGUAAAGGGCGCGUAGGCGGCCUUUUAAGUCCGGUGGGAAAGUCCUGCUGUUAAGGUGGGAAUUGCAUUGGAAACUGGAAGGCUUGAGUGCAGGAGAGGUAAGUGGAAUUCCCGGUGUAGCGGUGAAAUGCGUAGAGAUCGGGAGGAACACCAGUGGCGAAGGCGACUUACUGGACUGUAACUGACGCUGAGGCGCGAAAGUGUGGGGAGCAAACA
rnacentral:rRNA from 1 species